rnacentral:rRNA from 1 species
UACGAGAGGCCCAAACGUUAUUCGGAUUUACUGGGCUUAAAGAGUUCGUAGGCGGCGCAGAAAGUAGGGUGUGAAAGCCCUCGGCUCAACCGAGGAAUUGCGCUUUAAACUACUGUGCUUGAGGAACCUAGAGGUGAGCGGAACUGAUGGUGGAGCGGUGAAAUGCGUUGAUAUCAUCAGGAACACCGGUGGCGAAGGCGGCUUUCUGGGUCUUACCUGACGCUGAGGAACGAAAGCUAGGGGAGCGAACGGG